GGGCGGGAUGGGUGGCUAUUACCAGUUGGACAAGCAAACCAGAAUCUAAAUACGUUCUCAACCUCUGUUUUAGGAGCGAUUUAUUGUGAUUAUUAAUUUAUAGCUGUCCUCAGUCUUGAGUUCUUUGCCAUGCAUUCUUCUCCUGUUCUCAUAAGUCUUUUUCAGUGUGGUGUUGGGCAGAUAGAUGGAAUCAACGGUUGAAAGGAAACGGUGGGAGCAGUUGAAGUAUGCCAGUAUGGACUCUAUAGGCGGCCCUCAGAAAAAAGUGCAACAAAAAAAAUUGAAAUGAAAUGUUUUCUAUUUGAGAAGAGGAAAACACAAGAACAUGGAACCAGCAAAAAAAUAAGAUUUUAUCGUAUUAGGAUAUACAUUCAUGAUUAAAGUGGCAAUAGAAUUAUU